rnacentral:ncRNA from 15 species
CACAUCCGACAGGGGAGCGCCACAGCGCUGAGAGUGCGGAAGCGUCGUAGACCUCUACGGUGCCCGCAGACCCUUGAACCUCGCCCGGGUCAUUCCGGGUAGGAAGUUCGGUCGUCACUCAUG